UAGUGGGCGGAAUUCUUCGCGCAAUGGGCGAAAGCCUGACGCAGCCAUGCCGCGUGAAUGAUGAAGGUCUUAGGAUUGUAAAAUUCUUUCACCGGGGACGAUAAUGACGGUACCCGGAGAAGAAGCCCCGGCUAACUUCGUGCCAGCAGCCGCGGUAAUACGAAGGGGGCUAGCGUUGCUCGGAAUUACUGGGCGUAAAGGGAGCGUAGGCGGACUGUUAAGUUAGAGGUGAAAGCCCAGGGCUCAACCUUGGAAUUGCCUUUGAUACUGGCAGUCUUGAGUACGGAAGAGGUAUGUGGAACUCCGAGUGUAGAGGUGAAAUUCGUAGAUAUUCGGAAGAACACCAGUGGCGAAGGCGACAUACUGGUCCGUUACUGACGCUGAGGCUCGAAAGCGUGGGGAGCAAACAGGAUUAGAACCCCCUGGUAGA
rnacentral:rRNA from 1 species